ensembl:snRNA U4 U4 spliceosomal RNA
AGCUUUGCACAGUGGCAGUAUCAUAGCCAACGAGGUUUAUCGGAGGCACGAUUACUGCUGAUUGAAAACUUUUCCCUCUACUACAGUUUACACGUCGUAAGUCGUUCUUUAGUUGUAUUGUAUUUGAUUCUGAUGCUGGGAGAGAGCAGA